CCAAGGCUGGCAGAGCGGUUGAUGCGCUGGUCUGUAAAACCAGUUUAGCCAAGUUCGACUCUUGGGCCUUGGA
rnacentral:tRNA from 1 species